rnacentral:rRNA from 1 species
AUGAACGCUGGCGGCGUGCCUAAUACAUGCAAGUCGAGCGAACGGACGAGAAGCUUGCUUCUCUGAUGUUAGCGGCGGACGGGUGAGUAACACGUGGAUAACCUACCUAUAAGACUGGGAUAACUUCGGGAAACCGGAGCUAAUACCGGAUAAUAUUUUGAACCGCAUGGUUCAAAAGUGAAAGACGGUCUUGCUGUCACUUAUAGAUGGAUCCGCGCUGCAUUAGCUAGUUGGUAAGGUAACGGCUUACCAAGGCAACGAUGCAUAGUCGACCUGAGAGGGUGAUCGGCCACACUGGAACUGAGACACGGUCCAGACUCCUACGGGAGGCAGCAGUAGGGAAUCUUCCGCAAUGGGCGAAAGCCUGACGGAGCAACGCCGCGUGAGUGAUGAAGGUCUUCGGAUCGUAAAACUCUGUUAUUAGGGAAGAACAUAUGUGUAAGUAACUGUGCACAUCUUGACGGUACCUAAUCAGAAAGCCACGGCUAACUACGUG